GCACGUAGUUAGCCUGUGACUUCUUCUUCCGGUACCGUCAUCCACACAGGUUAUUAACCCGUGCGUUUUCUUUCCACGGCUGAAAGAGCUUUACGAACCCGAAGGCCUUCUUCACUCACGCGGCAUCGCUGGAUCAGGGGUUGCCCCCAUUGUUCAAAAUUCCCCA
rnacentral:rRNA from 1 species